ACCACUGUUUACGUCUAUUUCAGAGCGCGCAUCUUUCUGUACUGUCAAGCGACCUCAGCGACUCUCAUACUGGCGCUACCUUUGGCGGCACUCUCGAUUACAGCGGCCUCCCGUCGCAAACGGCCCUGCCUUGCGCACGGGACACCGCUCUCCGCAACUGCUGUGGACGGAAAGUCCACCGGGUCUUAGUCCUGAGGGCAAGAGUGGCAGCCGAGUCUUGUAGUGUCCCGGACUGAGAACACCAACCAUCAGGGCUGAAACUUCUCUACUAUUAUGGACAACCAGACUCGCACAUGCGAAAGUGUCGCUAUGGUCUGGCACCUCAGCACUCGUCAUGGCAAAAUCAACAGGGGCGUUCGCCCGGUCAACGAGGCAGUCGGCCCUGCAUUCCCUUUGGUUGGAGGAGACGACGUAUAUGAAAAGAGUUGUCAUUUUGCAUGACUGCUCACGCCAAACAGGAGCGACAGAAUAGCAAGUCACAAGUCUGAUGUUUCCAGCCGGCACCGCUUUUCAAUUUAUUCAUAAUUAUUAAGAAUAAAUAUGGAAACAUGAUGCCU